rnacentral:rRNA from 1 species
GAUGAACGCUGGCGGCGUGCCUAAUACAUGCAAGUCGAGCGAACAGACGAGGAGCUUGCUCCUCUGAUGUUAGCGGCGGACGGGUGAGUAACACGUGGAUAACCUACCUAUAAGACUGGGAUAACUUCGGGAAACCGGAGCUAAUACCGGAUAACAUGUUGAACCGCAUGGUUCAACAGUGAAAGACGGUCUUGCUGUCACUUAUAGAUGGAUCCGCGCCGCAUUAGCUAGUUGGUAAGGUAACGGCUUACCAAGGCAACGAUGCGUAGCCGACGUGAGAGGGUGAUCGGCCACACUGGAACUGAGACACGGUCCAGACUCCUACGGGAGGCAGCAGUAGGGAAUCUUCCGCAAUGGGCGAAAGCCUGACGGAGCAACGCCGCGUGAGUGAAGAAGGUCUUCGGAUCGUAAAACUCUGUUAUUAGGGAAGAACAAAUGUGUAAGUAACUAUGCACGUCUUGACGGUACCUAAUCAGAAAGCCACGGCUAACUACGUG